rnacentral:rRNA from 1 species
AGGACGAACGCUGGCGGCGUGCUUAACACAUGCAAGUCGAGCGAGGCCCUUCCUUCGGGAAGGUGCCCUAGCGGCGAACGGGUGAGUACCACGUGGGCAACCUGCCCCUAGCACUGGGAUAACUCCGGGAAACCGGGGCUAAUACCGGAUAUGACCUUUGAGGGCAUCCUCUUUGGUGUAAAGGAUUCUGGCUAGGGAUGGGCCCGCGGCCUAUCAGCUUGUUGGUGGGGUAAUGGCCUACCAAGGCGACGACGGGUAGCCGGCCUGAGAGGGCGACCGGCCACACUGGGACUGAGACACGGCCCAGACUCCUACGGGAGGCAGCAGUGGGGAAUAUUGCACAAUGGGCGAAAGCCUGAUGCAGCGACGCCGCGUGAGGGAUGACGGCCUUCGGGUUGUAAACCUCUUUCAGCAGGGACGAAGCGAAAGUGACGGUACCUGCAGAAGAAGCACCGGCCAACUACGUGCCAGCAGCCGC